rnacentral:sRNA from 1 species
UUUUAUCCCCGAUUGUAGUGGAAAUCCUUUUUUGUUUUUUUAGCAAUUGUACCUCGACUGCGCUCGGUGUGAUAAAACAAAAAAGAUUGGAACGAAAAGCGGGAAUAUGG